AUGUGCCCAGGGCCCGGGACAGCGCCACGGAAGAGGACGCACCCGGCUGUGUGCACAUGUGCCCAGGGCCCGGGACAGCGCCACGGAAGAGGACGCACCCGGCUGUGUGCACAUGUGCCCAGGGCCCGGGACAGCGCCACGGAAGAGGACGCACCCGGCUGUGUGCACAUGUGCCCAGGGCCCGGGACAGCGCCACGGAAGAGGACGCACCCGGCUGUGUGGACAUGUGCCCAGGGCCCGGGACAGCGCCACGGAAGAGGACGCACAGGACAGCGCCACGGAAGAGGACGCACCCGGCUGUGUGCACAUGUGCCCAGGGCCCGGGACAGCGCCACGGAAGAGGACGCACCCGGCUGUGUGCACAUGUGCCCAGGGCCCGGGACAGCGCCAUGGAAGAGGACGCACCCGGCUGUGUGCACAUGUGCCCAGGGCCCGGGACAGCGCCACGGAAGAGGACGCACCCGGCUGUGUGCACAUGUGCCCAGGGCCCGGGACAGCGCCACGGAAGAGGAUGCACCCGGCUGUGUGGACAUGUGCCCAGGGCCCGGGACAGCGCCACGGAAGAGGACGCACCCGGCUGUGUGGACAUGUGCCCAGGGCCCGGGACAGCGCCACGGAAGAGGACGCACCCGGCUGUGUGGACAUGUGCCCAGGGCCCGGGACAGCGCCACGGAAGAGGACGCACAGGACAGCGCCACGGAAGAGGACGCACCCGGCUGUGUGGCAGGGGAGGUUCCCAAGAGCAGGCUCAGGGCUCUGGGGUCUGAGUGAGGGCUCUCCAGCCAGCAGGGAGCAGGGCAGGGUGUUGAAGAGACGGCAGGUGCGUCAGGGGCUGACGUGGGACCCGGCACUCUGUGCUCUGUGUCUGCCCGGGAACAGGUCUGGAGGUUUGUGGAACCCAGUCCCCUGCAGAAUCUGUAAAACCUAAUAAAUCAUGGUUGUGGCC
rnacentral:lncRNA from 1 species